GCCGUGAUCGUAUAGUGGUUUGUACCUUGCGUUGUAGCCUCAAUAACCCAGGUUCGAGUCCUGGUCACGGCA
rfam:Ixodes scapularis strain Wikel colony gcontig_1108379880928, whole genome shotgun sequence.